UGGGCGAGAGACCGAUAGCAAACAAGUACCGCGAGGGAAAGAUGAAAAGGACUUUGAAAAGAGAGUCAAAGAGUGCUUGAAAUUGUCGGGAGGGAAGCGAAUGGGGGCCGGCGAUGCGCCUCGGUCGGAUGUGGAACGGUUAACGCCGGUCCGCCAAUCGACUCGGGGCGUGGAUCGGUGCGGAUUGGGACGGAGGCCAAAGCCCAGGAAGUCGUUAAGCCUGCGGAGACGCCUUCGCCCCGAUCGUGGCUGGCAGCGCGCGCCUUUUCGGCGUGCUUCGGCAUCUGCGCGCUCCCGG
rnacentral:rRNA from 1 species